ACAUUUUCCAAAAACUCUUUACAGUUGUGCUUCAACAUGAUCUGUCUUCGUUGGAGUCAUCCAUGUCAGACAACUCAUCUGAAUCACAAGACUCCUUGCAAACAUCUGACUCAUCAGAUGCAACAGUGAUCGUUCAGACUAACGGAGGGACGAGAACCCAUGCUGGAAAUCGGCAAAAAAGGUGAGCUUUUAUAAUAAAUGUUGGUACUAUCGAAUAAAAUAUUAGACACAAAGAUUCUGUGCAAUUAAACUGUGGUUUUGUUGUUGGACAUAAUUGUGAUAAUGGUGAUAGGUAUCAUUUCUAGCUGUCUGCUUUUUUUCUUUCUGUAUUUUAGACGAGAGAGAGGUUCUCCAGGCUAAAGACGGUGGACAGGUUAUUUUGGAUGAAUAUGAUCGAAUGAAAACUUUGACGGAUAGCACAAGAAGACAGAUGGUAAACCUUCUUGUGGCCAACAUUUUUACAUAAUACAGAAUUAAAUAUAAAUAAAUACAAAUAAUUUUUAAUAGAGCACACUCAUUUUAGGAGAUAUUAUAUUAUUAUUAAAGCAAUUUAUUAUUUAAUUUCUCCCAUGACAGAAAUCAUUAUUAAAGGGCUAAACCAUUCAAAAACUAUCAAUUUGACAGAGACUGAAACUCACUGAAAACACGAUAAAAUAUUUCACGUUUUGGCAAUUUUAGUGGCAAUGUCAUGUUUGUCUUUCAGGAAGAGCCCACCAGUCUCUGUGCGAAGUAAAUAUGCUUUCGGCAUCAUGGCUCUAUUUCCCAGCCUCAGAGAUACACACUCAGACAAAGGAUAUGUAAGUUUGUGAAUUGGUUAUAUUUUAAUUCAUGCAGUCAUUAAGUGUUCUGAACUUGAUCUAUAAUUUAAUGUUUUUAAUAUUACAGGAACACUUCUAUGACGCAACAGUAGAUCUGGCUACUUGGCCUGGAGGAUAAAGACUGUUCAACGGAACACUGCAGCUCAUUUCCCUAGACCCUCCACCAACACAACCUAUCAAGAUAGUCCAAAGAAAAAGAGGGAGUCUUUCUAACCUAGGAUCCUGACAGACUGCAAAAUACUGACCUCAAAUCAGCACUUUUGCUCUUGUCUGUGCAGCACGACUCAGUGACCUGUUAAGCAUUCUAUUUCUGGUUCACCUGUUCCCCCUACCUCCAAAGGACACAAGAAAAGUGCUAGAAUCAGCUCAUGUCAAGCUGCUGGCCAUGUUGUGAGAUAUUUGCAGGUAUGCAAAUAGUAGUGUAUAUAUAUUAGUGUAGACAUUGUCAUAUUUUCUGACUUUGUUGUGGCAAAGCCUGUUUUAUGUGGUGUUUGUUUGAAAUAAAAAUCUGUUUUAAAUUGCAA